rnacentral:lncRNA from 1 species
AACGACAGCAUGGAUAAGACAACGACACUGCUUUUGUUCUUCUUCUUGUUCACAUUCCUCACGACUUCUUUCUCUAAAAACCUAUGUAACCAAGAUGACAAAACCACCCUCCUCAAGAUCAAGAAAGCCCUAAACAACCCUUACCACCUCGCCUCGUGGGACCCUCGAACAGACUGUUGCUCCUGGUACUGCCUCGAGUGCGGCGACGCCACCGUUAACCACCGCGUCACCGCCCUAACCAUAUUUUCCGGUCAGAUCUCCGGUCAGAUCCCGCCUGAGGUUGGUGACUUGUCGUAUCUACAGACCCUUGUCUUCCGCAAACUCACUAACCUCACCGGUCAGAUCCCACGCACCAUCACCAAGCUCAAGUAUCUCCGGAGCCUCAGGCUCAGCUGGACGAAUCUGACCGGUCCAGUUCCUGGUUUUCUCAGUGAGCUCAAGAAUCUCCAGUGGGUAGACCUUUCCUUCAAUGAUCUCUCUGGUUCAAUACCGAGUUCUCUGUCUUUGUUACCUAAUCUUGUGUCCCUUGAUCUCAGCAGGAACAAGCUUACAGGUAAAUAAACUCUGUUUUUUACUUUUUUGCCUUUCUUUCUAAAUCUGAUCAAGAAACUUUUCAUGCAAGCAGGUUCUAUACCAGAGUCAUUUGGGUCGUUUCCAGCAAAAGUACCUGAUCUUUACCUAUCACACAACCAGCUCUCCGGUUAUAUACCAAAAACACUAGGCAAUCUUGAUUUUAGCAAGAUAGAUUUCUCUCGGAACAAGCUCGGAGGCGAUGCUUCGAUGUUGUUUAGAGCCAACAAAACGACGUGGUACAUUGAUUUAUCAAGAAACAUGUUACAGUUCGAUCUCUCUAGAGUUGUGAUCCCUAAGACACUUGGUAUCUUGGACUUGAACCACAACGGAAUCACAGGGAAUAUCCCGGUUCAGUGGACCGAAGCUCCUCUUCAGUUCUUCAAUGUUAGCUAUAACAGAUUGUGUGGACACAUCCCCACAGGAGGGACACUUCAGGAAUUCGAUACUUAUUCCUAUUUUCACAACAAGUGUUUGUGUGGUGCACCUCUUGAUAGUUGCAAGUAAAAGAUUCAAGCAGCCAAGCUAUUAUUAUUAUACUUCUACAAAUAAUCCAAUAAGUCUAUAAACAACUGUAUCUUUAUUUGGAUUGAUUAAUAAAAAUAAUCAACCAAACUUGCUUUGAUAAAUUUGUUGUAUAAUCUUCAAAACUUUUUGUUAAUCAACCAAACUUGUUUCUAGUAUAUUUUUUUUUUUGGUGCAUCUAAAUUUUCGAAUCCAACCUCCAGUUUUAAAUAAUAAAACAAGAUAUACUAUUCGUGGUUAUUGUUUCAAAUUUUAUCAAAAGUAAAUCUGAUAUGCUGAAGCUUAAAAGUCUUUCAUGCAUGUCGUAUUGUAAACCAUAAUUUAUACAACUAUAUAAGUAUACGAAUAAUUUUUUAGAAAAAUAAAAUAAGAGUUUAUUUGUGAAAUAGUUAAGUAAAAAAAGGAAAUUAGUUUUGUAGAGAGAAAAUAGAGCGAGAUAGAAAGAAAAAAAAAGAGAGAUAGUGAAAUUUUAAUUAAAUAGUGAAUUAUGGUUUUUUUGGUGUUAUCUCACCCAGUUUUCGUAAAAUAAAUAGACGGGAAAACCAUUUUUCAAAAAAAGAAGCCGUGAUGGAGAGUAGUAGUACUCAAGUGGCACAUGUGGACAGCCACUAGUUUUGCACUAGCCAACCAAAUUCAACACCGACAUCUUGAGCAUACGUAUUGACUAUUAAGGUUCCUAUCAAAUCAAAUCUCUAAUCUCUAGUGUGUAUAUAUCACUGUCACACUUUCAAGAACAAAAACUCAAAAUCAAAACCAUACAACAUGGAUAAUAAAAUACAUUCGACACUGCUUUUCUCGCUCUUGUUUUUCAUCACACACCUCGCGAACGCGUCAUCAAAAGAUCAAUGUAACCAAAACGACAAAAAGACCCUCCUCAAGAUCAAGAAGUCCCUAAACAACCCUUACCACCUCGCCUCAUGGGACCCUAAAAGCGACUGCUGCGCCUGGAACAGCCUCGAGUGCGACGACGCCACCGUUAACCGCCGCGUCAUCUCCCUAACCAUAUUCUCCGCUCAGAUCUCCGGUCAGAUCCCUCCUGAAGUCGGUGACUUACCGUAUCUUCAGAAGCUUGUCUUCCGCAAAAUCACUAACCUCACCGGUCAGAUACCACACACCAUCACCAAGCUCAAGUAUCUCCGUUUUCUCAGGCUUAGCUGGACGAACCUUACCGGCCCGGUUCCUGAGUUUUUGAGUCAGCUCAUGGAUCUUGCCUACUUAAACCUUUCCUUCAAUUAUUUUUCUGGUUCCAUACCUAGCUCUCUCUCCUUGUUACCUAAACUUUCGUACGUUGAUCUUAGUCGGAAUAAGCUUACAGGUGAAUAAAUAUUUUAUCUCUAUUAAAAACUGAUUAUUAAAAAAAUUGAUUAUUAAUUAAACUGCUAUUUAUCUAACCACAACCUUUUAAUUUUCACUUAGGUACAAUACCAGAGUCAUUUGGAUCGUUUUCAGGAGAAGUCCCUGACCUUUUCCUAUCACAUAACCAGCUCUCCGGUUCUAUACCUAAAUCACUAGGCAACCUGGAUUUUAACCGGAUCGAUUUCUCAAGGAACAGGUUCAUAGGCGAUGCUUCGAUGUUGUUUGGAGCCAAUAAAACGACAUUUUCUAUUGAUUUAUCAAGAAACAUGUUCCAGUUCGAUCUCUCCCGUGUUGAGAUCCCUAAGACAUUUGGUAUCUUAGACUUGAAUCACAAUGGGAUCACAGGGAGUAUCCCGGUUCAGUGGACUGAAACUCCUUUCCAAAUCUUCAAUGUUAGCUACAACAGAUUGUGUGGACGCAUCCCCACUGGAGGGAAACUGCAGAUGUUUGAUUCUUAUGCAUAUUUUCACAAUAAGUGUUUAUGUGGUGCACCACUUGAUAGUUGCAAGUAAAGAUUCAAGCAGCCAAGCGUAUUACUAUUCUACUUUACCAAAAUAAUCCAAUAAGUCUAUAGACAACUGUAUGUUUUAUUUGGAUUGACUGAUUAAAAAAUCAACCAAACUUGCUUCAAAAUAUUUGUAAUACAAUCUUCCAGUUUGAAUCACAAUCAGCAUGUUAGACACAUUUAAAUGAAGAUCAAUCGCAAAGGUUCUUGUUAAUUAGAGGUUGUUGUAAAUAUCCUUUUUUUUUUUUUUGUAACACGAACUUAUAUUAAAAGUUCAAUGAGCAUAAAAGUCUACAACUGAAACAGAGGAUCCCAGAGCAUGCUCAAACGGUACAACGAAAAUAGAAAGCAUUACUAAACAUGGAAAGAUAUACCCUAUAAGAGGCGAGUCAAGCUCAACAAGAUGAAGAACCCCAUGGAGAAACUUCACCUUAAUCUCUAAGGCGAUUGUUCGACAUAACAAUUGAUAGUCGAAGACGACGUUGAAACACCAAUAAGAAGUGGAUGGACUGUUGACCAGCAAGAGCUUUUGGUGAGAAGCUCUAAAACCAUAGGCAACACCAAGAAAAUGAAGCCCUAUCUGACUUGAUUUGAAAAUGAAGCAAGCGCGAUCAGUUCUAAACUCAACAAAGCUUAUCAACGAGACUAGGUGAAUCUCAAAUGCUAGUUUAGCCUUCAUACGGACGUUUAGGACAAUGGAGUUGGAUGACGGAUUGAACGGUUUGAUCGGGUCAAAAUCUUAGACCUCAACAUUACCGUGUUGAAGCCAAUAACUUGUAACCAGAAUAGACCUGAGCAUGUAGUCAUCGCACUCGUUCUGCUUGAGCGUGUUGUUGUAAAUAUCCAUUAUCCACUUUUACGGCCAAACUUGUUGGUAUUCCGUUUCCGUUCGACAAUGGCAUAAAACAUUAAAUCAUAACCAUGUAGUAUAUAUGCAUGAUUUGACCAAGUGUAUAUAUCUGAAUCCGAAUGCUGACGUGUCAAUAAUAUUAUAUUACUAUAAACCACUAGACUAAGCUUGAUUAAAAGUUCUAGAUGUCGUUGUGUCGACCCCUAGACUAUACCCGUUAAUUGGUAAUUAUCUUAUUAUUAUUUAGUACUAAAAAGACAGUAGUAUAUUUUAGUAUAUAUUUUUUGAAUGAAUGUAAGACAAUAUUCAAACAAAAAUACUGGGUAACGUGCUUCUGUUUCCGAAAGGUGUUUUUAACUUCUAAAUAGAGAAAGAAUGAAGAAGAAAAGAAUGUAAAGAAUUAAUGAUUUAGGUGCCUAUUCUUGAGCCAAACCUUAUUGCUAUCCCAUCUGCAUAUGUUCUGUUUCCUUCUGUUUCUGAUAGUCCUACAGAUGCGUUUCUAGUUUGAUAGGUGGAGAAGGAGCUCCAUGCUUCUGACUGUUUCUCUCACGCCAGAUGUUAUAUACAUGUGCUCAGAGGCGUGCCUACAGUGUAUUGAAAAAGGCAUUCGCUUUCCCUAAAUAAUAUUACGUUUUCUAGGGCCCCAAAAUUUAAAAUAAUUUCUAGUUAAGUUGCUUAAACUUAUUUUUUUUUUAAAAACUAUCCACGAGAAUCGAAUAACUCAAUUUCUAAAUCCAUAUACAUUUUUUAUAGGACAUAAUAUAGCAUAUUUACGUAAUAAGUGUUAAACUUAUGUAUUUCGCGAAUGUGAUAUAUCAUAUUAAAAAAUUGUUUUUUUUAUAGUUGUAUAUAAAUUUAUUUUUAAAACUUGACUUAGGCUCCUGAAAUCCUUCGCACGGCACUGCAUGUGCUUUUCUAGUCAUAUUUUAGUGUCAUGAAAUAGUUUAGAUGCUAUUUUCUUAUUGGUGCAUCUCAUUUUUCAAAUCCUGUUUUGAAUUAUAUAAUUUUUUUUCUGAAAAGAUCAAAAUAGAAGCCUUGGUUGAGAAAGUAGUAGUACUCAAGUGGCACAUGUUGACUCCCAGCAUUUUGACACCAGCCAACCAUAUUCUCCACCGACAUCUUAUCACACCUAUUGACUAUUAAGGUUUUUCUAUCAAAUCAAAUAUCUAAUCUCGAUAGUGUAUAUAUCAUCAUCACACUUUCAACAAAAAUAUUCAAAACCAAACACCAUACAACAUGGAUCAUAAGACAAAUACGACACUGCUUUUCUCGCUCUUGUUUUUCAUUACACACCUCAGCAACGCGUUAUCAAAAGAUCUAUGUAACGAAAACGACAAAAACACCCUCCUCAAGAUCAAGAAGUCCCUAAACAACCCUUACCACCUCGCCUCGUGGCACCCCGAAACCGACUGCUGCUCCUGGUACUGCCUCGAAUGCGGCGACGCCACCGUUAACCACCGCGUCAUCUCCCUAACCAUAUUCGCCGGUCAGAUAUCCGGUCAGAUCCCGCCUGAAGUCGGUGACUUACCGUAUCUUCAGAAGCUUGUCUUCCGCAAACUCACUAACCUCACCGGUCAGAUCCCACACAGCAUCACCAAGCUCAAGUAUCUCACGUUUCUAUGGCUUAGCUGGACGAACCUCACCGGCCCGGUUCCUGAUUUUCUUAGUCAGCUCGUGAAUCUUGACUACUUAAACCUUUCGUUCAAUGAGCUUUCUGGUUCAGUACCUAGCUCUCUCUCCCUGUUACCUAAACUUACGUACAUUGAUCUUAGUAGGAAUAAGCUUACAGGUGAAUAACUCUUUUAUGUAUAAAAAAACGAUUAUAAAAAAUAAACUGUUUAUUACAUUGUUAUUUUUCUAUUCACAACGUUUUAACUUUCACUUAGGUACAAUACCAGAGUCAUUUGGAUCGUUUCCAGGAGAAGUUCCUUACCUUAUCUUAUCACACAACCAGCUCUCCGGUUCUAUACCCAAAUCACUAGGCAACCUUGAUUUUAACCGGAUAGAUUUCUCAAGGAACAAGCUCACAGGCGAUGCUUCGAUGUUGUUUGGAGCCAACAAAACGACGUUUUCCAUUGACUUAUCAAGAAACAUGUUCCAGUUUGAUCUGUCCAGAGUUGUGCUCCCUCAGUCACUUGGUGUACUGGAUUUGAACCACAAUGGGAUCACAGGGAGUAUUCCGGUUCAGUGGACUGAAUAUUCUCUCCAACUCUUAAACGUUAGCUAUAACAGACUGUGUGGACCCAUCCCCACUGGAGGCAGUCUUCAGAGAUUUGAUUCUUAUAUAUAUUUUCACAACAAGUGUUUGUGUGGUGCACCUCUUGAUAGUUGCAAGUAAUAAACCAAGCUUAUCUCUAGUUUUCCCAAAAAAAAAAAUGUAAUAUCAUCCAGAUUGAUUAAAUAAAACAUGUAUCACAACUUGUAUUUUGAUGAGUUCUUAGAACAUUUUUAAAGUGAAAAUGAAGGUAGAGCUUACCACAAAUAGAGGAAGAAUAAGGACGAAUACUUAUCCUCUAUUUUCACUUAUAAGAGCAUGAUUAAUGGAGAGUUCUUAGGGUGAGGUUCUUAGCGGAAUAUAAAAAACCGUUUCUUGUUCUUAGCGGAAUAUAAAAAACCGUUUCUUAACUUUUAACUAAAAAAACUAAGAACCUUAUUUAACAUCUAGAGCUUCCGUGUCCGAAAGGUGUUUUUAACUUCUAAAUAGAGAAAGAAUAAAGAAGAAAAGAAUGUAAAGAAUGAUUUAGGUGCUUAUCCUUGAGCCAAACCAUAUUGCUAUCCCAUCUGCAUAUGUUCUGUUUCUGAUAGUCCUAUAGAUGCUUUUCUAGUUUGAUAGGUGGAGAAGGAUCAGCUCCAUGCUUUUUCUCUCACGCCAGAUGUUAUUUCAUGUCAGAUGCUUUUCUAGUCAUAUUUUAGUUUCAUGAAAUACAUUUAGAUGCUAUUUUCUUUUUGGUGCAUCUCAUUUUUCAAAUCCUGUUUUAAAUUAUAUAAAUUUUCUCAUUUCGAAAAUAAAACUAUUUGUGGAAACUGUUUUAAAAUUGUAUCAAAAGCAAAUUUCAUAUAUUGAAGCUUAAAAGUGCUUCGUGUAAGAUUAUAAACCCAAACAUUUAUAUACAUAUGAAUUUUUUUUUUUUAAUCAGAAAAUAGAAGCCGUGGCUGAGAGAGUAGUAGUACUCAAGUGGCACAUGUUGACUGCCAGCAUGUUGGCACCAGCCAACCAUAUUCAACACCGACAUCUUAAUCACACGUAUUGACUGACUAUUAAGGUUUCUAUCAAAUCAAAUAUCUAAUCUCGAUAGUGUUUAUAUCAUCGUCACACUUUCAACAAAAAAAAUAUUCAAAACCAAACACCAUACAACAUGGAUCAUAAGACAAACACGACACUGCUUUUCUCGCUCUUGUUUUUCAUCACGUACCUCAUCACCAUCGCGACAUCGAAAGAUCUAUGUAACCAAAACGACAAAAACACCCUCCUUAAAAUCAAGAAGUCCCUAAACAACCCUUACCACCUCGCCUCGUGGCACCCCGAAACCGACUGCUGCUCCUGGUACUGCCUCGAAUGCGGCGACGCCACAGUUAACCACCGCGUCAUCUCCCUAACCAUAUUCGCCGGUCAGAUAUCCGGUCAGAUCCCGCCUGAAGUCGGUGACUUACCGUAUCUUCAGAGUCUUAUGUUCCACAGGAUCACUAACAUCACCGGUCAGAUCCCAUCCACCAUCACCAAGCUUAAGUAUCUCCGUUCUCUCAGGCUUAGCUGGUUGAACCUCACCGGCCCGGUUCCUGAGUUUCUGAGUCAGCUCAUGAAUCUUGAAUACUUAAGCCUUUCCUUCAAUCAGCUCUCUGGUUCCAUACCUAGCUCUCUCGCUUUGUUACCUAAACUUUCUUACGUUGAUCUUAGUAGGAAUAAGCUUACAGGUACAAUAAGUACUCUCUUUGAUUCUAUUAUUUCUUUGGUGUAACUUUGAUUAUAUUUAUUCAUUGAUUUAAAUAUGAUUUGUUUUGAACUUUUUAAAAUAUGAUUAUUAACUGUACUUUUUUUUCUUCAAAUAUAACUUUCAUGCUUAGGUACAAUACCAGAGUCAUUUGGAUCGUUUCCAGCAGAACUUGCUUACCUUAUCUUAUCACACAACCAGCUCUCCGGUUCGAUACCCAAAUCACUAGGCAACCUUGAUUUUAACCGGAUAGAUUUCUCAAGGAACAAGUUCACAGGCGAUGCUUCGAUGUUGUUUGGUGCCAACAAAACGACGUUUUCCAUUGACUUAUCAAGAAACAUAUUCCAGUUUGAUCUGUCCAGAGUUGUGCUCCAUGAGUCACUUGGUGUACUGGACUUGAACCACAAUGGGAUCACAGGGAGUAUUCCGGUUCAGUGGACUGAAUAUUCUCUCCAAAUCUUAAACGUUAGCUAUAACAGACUGUGUGGACCCAUCCCCACUGGAGGAAGUCUUCAGAGAUUUGAUUCUUAUACAUAUUUUCAUAACAAGUGUUUAUGUGGUGCACCUCUUGAUAGUAGUUGCAAGUAAUAAACCAAGCUUAUCUCUAGUUUUCCCAAAAAAAAAAAUGUAAUAUCAUCAAGAUUGAUUAAAUAAAACAUGUGUCACAACUUGUAUUUUUAUGAGUUCUUAGAACAUUUUUUGAACCAUGAGUUCACACGCACCGUCCAUAGCUUGUUUAACACGUGGUCUAGUCAGCAAACAUAAUUAGUAAAACCCUACCACUAAUAAGUUUCCAAUUGAUUACGUUAGGCCGUUAGCCUAUAUAUAUCAUUACAAGUUUCCACUACAACUCACACUCAAGCACACUACCAUUAUGAGUAAGGCAACGACACUGCUCCUCUUCUUGUUCUUCACGCUCCUCCUCACGACCUCUUUAUCUAAAGAUCUCUGUCACAAAGAUGACAAAAACACUCUCCUCAAGAUCAAGAAGUCACUUAGCAACCCUUACAACAACAUCAUCUCCUGGGACCCCAAAGAAGACUGCUGCACCUGGUUCAACGUUGAGUGCGGCGACGCCACCGUCAACCACCGUGUCACCUCCCUACACAUUAGUUACGACCAGAUAUCCGCUCAGAUCCCUCCUGAAGUAGGCGACUUACCUUAUCUGCAAACACUAAUCUUCCGCAAGCUCUCUAACCUCACCGGCCCAAUCCAGCCCACCAUUGCCAAGCUCAAGUACCUCCGUUUUCUCAGGCUCAGC